UGUUGAAUUGUAAUCGAUUACCGCUGGCACUCGCUGACUUUAAAAUGUUCAACCAACCCGCAAGUAGCAACCAGAGAAUAGAGGUGAAUUGAUCUGAAAAACAAUGCCGUCCAGAAUGCAGCAUUCCUAAAAUAUGGUUGCUAAAAUAUGGACUUAUAAUCUACGGCAGUGAAUGUGAUGAAGAGUAUAAGUGGAAAUGUUUUCUUCUCAAGAUGAACUACUAUACAUUCUGACGUUAUGGGAUAAUAACACAACAGUCCUGUUCGCUCUCUCCGAUCCCUUUUGCUAGGGUGGAGACGUGACUGUAGUAGUUAUGAUGCGGAACAAGGAACGAGACUACGAGAGGGAGAAGAGGAGGGCCCCGUUGAUAUGGUGAGCCUGAACCACAUGACCCACCAUGCCACUCUCUCCCUCGAAAGAUGGUCACCAGUACUUUCCCAACCAGCCCGCCCCUCUGAUAAGCAGCAGUGUGUGAGAGAACGGAGCGCCAGUACUCAGUCUGUGGAGGCCAUGCACAUGGUCUGUGACGAAGAGGAACCUGUGACCAGGCAACCAGAACAACAUGUUGCCCGGCAACCAUAACAAAGACCCUCUGAACAACCUGCCCGGCCCGCUUGGACAGAGCAGAUUGGGAGUUGCAGUGAAGUUCUGCCAAAGAUUUUCUACGAUGAGAUAAGAAUACCUAGACCUUACCUCUCGAACAAUUCUCUGAUAUC